GGCACUCAGGACCCUCAGGACCCCACCAGUGCGAAUGCAUAAACAACUUUAAAAGCCCAUUAAGAGACUCAGGGUAGCCCCAAAUCCAGACGCCUACCGAGUGGCACUCAGGACCCUCAGGACCCCACCAGUGCGAAUGCAUAAACAACUUUAAAAGCCCAUUAAGAGACUCAGGGUAGCCCCAAAUCCAGACGCCUACCGAGUGGCACUCAGGACCCUCAGGACCCCACCAGUGCGAAUGCAUAAACAACUUUAAAAGCCCAUUAAGAGACUCAGGGUAAAUAAAUAACUACCCCUUUCAUUGUACU